GAUGAACGCUGGCGGCGUGCCUAAUACAUGCAAGUCGAGCGAACAGACGAGGAGCUUGCUCCUCUGACGUUAGCGGCGGACGGGUGAGUAACACGUGGAUAACCUACCUAUAAGACUGGGAUAACUUCGGGAAACCGGAGCUAAUACCGGAUAAUAUAUUGAACCGCAUGGUUCAAUAGUGAAAGACGGUUUUGCUGUCACUUAUAGAUGGAUCCGCGCCGCAUUAGCUAGUUGGUAAGGUAACGGCUUACCAAGGCAACGAUGCGUAGCCGACCUGAGAGGGUGAUCGGCCAAAAUGGAACUGAGACACGGUCCAGAAUCCUACGGGAGGCAGCAGUAGGGAAUCUUCCGCAAUGGGCGAAAGCCUGACGGAGCAAAGCCGCGUGAGGGAUGAAGGUCUUCGGAUCGUAAAACUCUGUUAUUAGGGAAGAACAAAUGUGUAAGUAACUAUGCACGUCUUGACGGUAACUAAUCAGAAAGCCACGGCUAACUACGUG
rnacentral:rRNA from 1 species